GCCAGACCUGACUUCUGCCUGGGCAGGGCUGUGGGCUUUGGAACAUGUGUUAAUAACAUCAUGCAGGGGAAUCUUAUAAUGUCACAUACAACGUUAACACACAUAUUUUAUCAGGACAAUAUUGAUCAGCAAAUUGAGUUUUCAAAUGAUACCUUACAAGGCAUACGUUGUACGAAGAUUAUUAAAUAGUGUGUAGGGUGUGGAUACAGGGGUGUAUUUUGUCACAUGCAGUAACACCUAGAGGCAAAUACAAUUAGGACGCCAUUGUGCUAGGCACUGUACAAAACAUAUAGACAUGACAGCCCAUGCCCCAAAGAGCAAGUCAUAAAAUUUCAGAUGCACACAGAACAUAAUGCUUAGAUCUCAAGAUGAUGUGAUAUUAAACCAGCUGACCAGGGUAGCUGGCAGGAGAUGCAGCCAGCAUUAACCUACAUGAUCAGGAAGUGUGAACAUGAUUGCAAUCUGGUCUCUUUCUCUCCUCAGGACUGUAAAUGCAAUGAAUUUUUUGAGCUUCCAGGAGAUCCAGAUGAGAUCUCCAAAAUAACUAGUUAUUAAAGCUUUCUUUAGAUAAUUCCUCAAAGGAUGGCAGAGGAGCCCUUGAUGACUGAGGUUUAUAGAACUGUGUCCAUCCUAUGACCAGCCGUCAGUGCUUCCUGCGUCUCAUAGAUGGUUUACUUAAUUUGGCUGUAUACGCUGGAACAGUAAGGGCUCAGACAGACAGGGCAGUCCUUGGCUAGGGUGACCAGACGUCCAGAUAAAAUCAGGACUGUCCAAAUUUUUAGUUGUUUGUCCUGCGUCCCGACCGAUGCACGGUCGGGAUGCCAUUUGUCCCGAUAUUGCAGCUUUGGCCGCUCCGGCGGGGGGGCGGUGUGGGUUUUGUUUUUAUUUAAAUUUAUUUAUUUGCUUC